GCCGUCUUAGCUCAGUGGUAGAGCGCGUGGCUUUUAACCACGUGGCCGUGGGUUCGAUCGCCACAGACGGCG
rnacentral:tRNA from 1 species